ACACAGGUUUGGUCCUGGCCUUUCUAUUAAUUCUUAAUAAAAUUACACAUGCAAGCAUCCACGUCCCGGUGAGAAUGCCCUCUAGAUCUUAAAGAUCAAAAGGAGCAGGCAUCAAGCACACCUAAAUGGUAGCUCACAACGCCUUGCUCAACCACACCCCCACGGGAAACAGCAGUGACAAAAAUUAAGCUAUGAACGAAAGUUUGACUAAGUUAUAUUAAUUAGAGUUGGUAAAUCUCGUGCCAGCCACCGCGGUCAUACGAUUAACCCAAAUUAAUAGAUCUACGGCGUAAAGAGUGUUAAAGAAAAGACCACAAUAGAGUUAAGUUAUAACUAAGCUGUAAAAAGCCCUAGUUAAAAUAAAAUAACCCACAAAAGUGACUCUAAGAUCUCUGAUACACGAUAGCUAGGACCCAAACUGGGAUUAGAUACCCCACUAUGCCUAGCCCUAAACCUAGAUAGUCAUCUAACAAAACUUUUCGCCAGAGUACUACUCGCAACAGCCUAAAACUCAAAGGACUUGGCGGUGCUUCACAUCCACCUAGAGGAGCCUGUUCUAUAAUCGAUAAACCCCGAUAAACCUUACCAACUCUUGCCAAUUCAGCCUAUAUACCGCCAUCUUCAGCAAACCCUAAAAAGGAAUAAUAGUAAGCACAAUCACCACACAUAAAAACGUUAGGUCAAGGUGUAGCUUAUGAGUUGGAAAGAAAUGGGCUACAUUUUCUGCACAAGAACAUCUACCACGAAAGUUUUUAUGAAACUAAAAACUAAAGGAGGAUUUAGCAGUAAAUCAAGAAUAGAGUGCUUGGUUGAAUAAGGCCAUGAAGCACGCACACACCGCCCGUCACCCUCCUCAAGCAUACAGUAAUAAAAAUAACAUAUAUCUAAUUACAUAGCCUUGUAAGAGGAGAUAAGUCGUAACAAGGUAAGCAUACUGGAAAGUGUGCUUGGAUAUCAAAGUA
rnacentral:ncRNA from 1 species